UACGGAGGGAGCUAGCGUUAUUCGGAAUUACUGGGCGUAAAGCGCACGUAGGCGGAAUGUUAAGUCAGGGGUGAAAUCCCGGGGCUCAACCCCGGAACUGCCUUUGAUACUGGCAUUCUCGAGUCCGGAAGAGGUGAGUGGAAUUCCGAGUGUAGAGGUGAAAUUCGUAGAUAUUCGGAGGAACACCAGUGGCGAAGGCGGCUCACUGGUCCGGUACUGACGCUGAGACGCGAAAGCGUGGGGAGCAAACAGG
rnacentral:rRNA from 1 species